rnacentral:rRNA from 1 species
GACGAACGCUGGCGGCGUGCUUAACACAUGCAAGUCGAACGGAAAGGCCCUGCUUUUGUGGGGUGCUCGAGUGGCGAACGGGUGAGUAACACGUGAGUAACCUGCCCUUGACUUUGGGAUAACUUCAGGAAACUGGGGCUAAUACCGGAUAGGAGCUCCUGCUGCAUGGUGGGGGUUGGAAAGUCUCGGCGGUUGGGGAUGGAUUCGCGGCUUAUCAGCUUGUUGGUGGGGUAGUGGCUUACCAAGGCUUUGACGGGUAGCCGGCCUGAGAGGGUGACCGGCCACAUGGGGACUAAGGUACGGAGCAGACUCCAACGGGAGACAGCAGUGGGGAGUAUUACACAAUGAGCGGAAGCCUGAUGCAGCAACGCCGCGUGCGGGAUGACGGCCUUCGGGUUGUAAACCGCUUUCGCCUGUGACGAAGCGUGAGUGACGGUAAUGGGUAAAGAAGCACCGGCUAACUACGUG